rnacentral:rRNA from 1 species
GACGAACGCUGGCGGCGUGCUUAACACAUGCAAGUCGAGCGAUGAAAGCCUUAUGAACUAUUAGUAGUGAUUGGGGCCGGAUUAGCGGCGGACGGGUGAGUAACGCGUGAGCAACCUGCCUUAAACAACGGGAUAGCCUCGGGAAACCGGGAUUAAUAGCGUAUGAGACCCCGCCUUCACAUGAAGAAGCGGUUAAAGAUUUAUCGGUUUAAGAUGGGCUCGCGUCUGAUUAGCUAGUUGGUGAGAUAAAAGUCCACCAAGGCAACGAUCAGUAACCGGCUUGAGAGAGUGAACGGUCACAUUGGAACUGAGACACGGUCCAAACUCCUACGGGAGGCAGCAGUGGGGAAUAUUGCACAAUGGGGGAAACCCUGAUGCAGCGACGCCGCGUGAGCGAUGAAGGAAUUCGUUUCGUAAAGCUCUGUCCAAGGGGAAGAUAAUGACAGUACCCUUGGAGGAAGCCCCGGCUAAAUACGUGCCAGCCGCCGCCGUAA